UUGGCAGUUCCCAGCUCUGAGAACUGAAUUCCAUGGACUGGUUCCAGUUCCGUGCGCUCAGUCCAUGGUAUCCAGUUCUCUAGCUUGGCUGCAUCAA
rnacentral:pre_miRNA from 1 species